rnacentral:rRNA from 1 species
UGGCGCCUACGGGGGGCAGCAGUGAGGAAUAUUGGUCAAUGGGCGGGAGCCUGAACCAGCCAAGUCGCGUGAAGGAAGAAGGUACUUAGUAUUGUAAACUUCUUUUGUCGGGGAACAAAGGCGGAGACGCGUCUCCGGAUGAGUGUACCCGAAGAAAAAGCAUCGGCUAACUCCGUGCCAGCAGCCGCGGUAAUACGGAGGAUGCGAGCGUUAUCCGGAUUUAUUGGGUUUAAAGGGUGCGCAGGCGGAAGAUCAAGUCAGCGGUAAAAUUGAGAGGCUCAACCUCUU